rnacentral:misc_RNA from 1 species
CCAAGACGGCGACCCUGGAGAAUCCAUUUGAGUCCAAACAGGCAAAUGGCACAAUUCAACCUCUCUAUCUCCCAGUCCUCUCUCGGUCUCUCCUGAAAUUCAACUCGCAGAUCUAAGUUAAAGCUGAAAACUGAAAAUGGAGAACAAGAAAUUGGACAUAUCAUCGGCAAAAGCAGUCUUUUUAGGAGCGCUAACUCCUGGUGUUAACGGUCCUACAUGGAAUACACUAAAAUCAGUGUUUCUGAUGCUGGGUGCUUGCCUUGCUGUAAUGCUUGGCUUGGCCUUCUCUUCAAGCGACUCUUCUUUGAUACUUCUUGUUGGGUUUCUUGAAGAGAAGGCCAAGCCAAGCAUUAC